rnacentral:rRNA from 1 species
GGCGGCGUGCUUAAUACAUGCAAGUCAACUUGACUUUAGAUAGCAAUAUCGAAAGUAGGGUGGCGGCACGGGUGCGUAACGCGUAGGUAAUCUGCCCUGAGGUCUGACAUAACCCGUCGAAAGGCGGGCUAACAUCAGAUGAUAUAUAAUCACGACAUCGUGGAAAUAUCAAAUCUUCGGAGCCUUGGGAUGAGCCUGCGUCUGAUUAGGUAGUUGGCGGAGUAAUAGCCCACCAAGCCUACGAUCAGUAGCUGGUCUGAGAGGAUGAUCAGCCACACUGGAACUGAGACACGGUCCAGACUCCUACGGGAGGCAGCAGUAAGGAAUAUUGCUCAAUGGGGGAAACCCUGAAGCAGCAACGCCGCGUGAAGGAUGAAAUACUUUGUAUGUAAACUUCUGUAAGAUGGGAAAAAUAUUCUCCUCGGGAGAAUUGAUUGUACCAUCAGAGUAAGCCCCGGCUAACUACGUG